rnacentral:tRNA from 1 species
AAAAAUCCGUUGGAUUUAUUAACCGUGAGGGUUCAAGUCCC